UUCCAGGGUUUAGGUUGGAAGCACAGUGUUUGCUUACCACAUUGCCCCUGGGUUUGCCUCUGGCUUGUGCUUCCUAGAGGAAAGGCGAUGGGUCUGCUGCUGGUUCCUAAAACAGUGCCAGUCUGUGAUGGCCUUCUGGUGGUGAAACCAGUUUACAAGCAGCAGCAUCACAAAUGUCAUCCCGCAAAGACUGGAAAAGGAGCCCUUUGUCUAUGGGUCUACACCCAUGGCCCUGCUUUCCUUCUCACACCCCAGAGCUACCAUGCGUGCCUCCUAGGACCUCCUGGCCACAUCCCCCUGGCUGCAGAAGAAAAUUGACAAUACCCAAAAUAAUAUAGUGGCUUUUAUGCUUCCCCAUGCUGUCCAGCUGACAGGCGUCAGCUCCAUUUCACACUGACUCCUAGCCU